rnacentral:rRNA from 1 species
UACGUAGGGUGCAAGCGUUAAUCGGAAUUACUGGGCGUAAAGCGUGCGCAGGCGGUUUUGUAAGCCAGAUGUGAAAUCCCCGGGCUCAACCUGGGAAUGGCAUUUGGGACUGCAAGGCUGGAGUACGGCAGAGGAGACUGGAAUUCCUGGUGUAGCAGUGAAAUGCGUAGAUAUCGGGAGGAACACCGGUGGCGAAGGCGGGUUCUCUGGGCCUGUGCUGACGCUGGAGGAGCGAAAGCGUGGGGAGCAAACAGG